GAAUCAAAAGUCCCCUUGACUUUUUCACCCCAUUUUGAGAUGUGCGUUUUGCAAGAAUUUUUUAGGCGAUUUUUGUGUGUAUGUGUUCAUAGUUAUGGGAUUUUUGAUUUGACUUUGUAUGUUUUGAGUUUGUGGUUUCAUUUAGAAAAAACGUGCAGAGAAUAUUAGUAAUGAUAUUUCGACUAAAACUUAAGCGUGCUGUGUAGCCGAACCAACAUGAGGCAUCGUUUUCAGAAAAACUCUCCAAACAUAUGCAAGUUAUGAGUGGAUAGAGUUAAACCAAAAGGGCCCGAAGUUUUCACAGUGGACAGAAAAUAUGUCGUUUGUGAUUAUCAUUGCAUUCCAAGUGAUAUCAUAUUAUAAGAAAGGAGAGAUACAACUGAUGCCACUAAUGCAGCGACUGAUUCUGAUUUUUUGAUGUCUGAUGCAGCAAAUGUAGAGAUACAAAAUAUGGACAUAGCUGCUGCUGGUCCUUCUACACAGUGGUUUUAAAUUGAGGGCUUGACCCUUUAGCCAUCUACAUAGCCUCGUGCAUAGUUGCUGGGCAUCGGUACAUAGGGUGAUACAAAGUUCAUCGGAAUUGUGUGCUGUUCUGGGAAACUUAAGUCCGCCGAUACAGAAACCUGCGAAGGUAAGCCAUAUCUUUUUUUUCUUCAUCAAUUUAAUGUGUUGAUAAUAAAUUCCCUAACAAAAUUUAUGUAAGCUGGUGUGAUAAUUGAAAAUACUUUUUCUGUACCAAAGAUUUCAUUUUAAUUUAAAUUUUUUGUAUAACAAAAAUUAUUUCAUUUGCACUUUCCAAGCUGAUUAUACUGAAAAAAAGUUGUAGUCUUAUUCCACAUAUUGAGGCUGUACUAUAUUGUUUAUUUCUCAUCGUUAAUUGAUGCAGACAAUUUGGCCAUGUGGUUACACGAUUAUGUGUCUUAGUGGGGAACUCUGCCUCCGUCAUUCUGAUUGCCUGUAUGACGGUAUAUUUUGCUGCCUUUAUAUAUCAAAGUUUCGAUAUCGACAUAUAUACAGGGUGUUUAAAAAUAGAUGCGAAAAAUUUAGUUUCUAUAUAAAAAAAUUAAAUGUAGGUCGAAUGUCAAAAAAAAAAAUAAAUAAAAAUAAAAAUAAUUUUUGUUCGGUGUUGUGUGUUGUCCAACGGUAUUUGUACUAACAUUUAUGAUAAUCUUCCAAACAAUUAUGUUUCAAAAAUAAUUUAUAAUCAAACAUAAGCUGUGAUUAGGUAUACCAUUUAGAUAUGCUUGUGUAUAAGUACAAACUUUAAAGAAUCAAAGAAUUUGAAUUUGUUCUUCAUUACUUAAAAUGCAUUUCUGCAUUAGUGUAAUUAAUCAUUAUUGAAUUAAAACUUUUUAUUAUUAAACAAUUGAAGGAUUAGAUAAUCAGUUUGAAUUAAUGCUAUUUUGUAUUUAAACUAACUAAGCAUUGUCAAAUGAAACAGUAAUAAGAAACGCCAUAGGAAGUGACUAUAAUUUUUUUGAUUAUAUUUUUUUAUUUGUGGACAGUGAGUAUUAUGAAAAUAUUCCAGAAGACAAAAGUUUCUAUAUAAAACAUAAAAUUAACAAAAUAAGUUUUUCUUUGGUGCUAUAUAUUUUCUUCUUUCAGAUAAAACAUAAAAACAACAUUUAUUUAACCAACUACCCUUUAUUUUACGCAUAGAAUUACCCUCUUAAGUUUUUCUUCUUUGUUUUGAAACACCAUAAAUACAGGGCAAUUGACGCUAUGGCCAAAUGGUUUUCAAAAAAUUUUGCUUAUGGGAUGCUUAAAUUUCUAUUAUAGUAUUUUUAAAAAGCCAUUCAAGCAAUAAGUGACCUCAUCUGAAUAAACAUAAACUUGGGAAAUUUGAAUUUAAAUAAGAUUAACCAACUCACUCACCAUUGCGAAGUUCCUGCAUGAAAAUAACAUUAACUCUAAAACUUAGAAGUUACAAAUCCCCAUGAACAGGUUACUUGAAAACAUUGAUAUUUUCAGUAAUAGUUAUGGUUUUCCGAAUGCUGCUCACAUGCUUAACGCAUAUAUUAAUUUCCAUUUGACAUUUACAAGAUAGGUAACUCUACUCCUACUUUCCACUAUUCAUCUGCAUUGGGUUUAAAUUAUUCUAUUAUUCUCUUUCGGUUUAAGAAAAUCUAACCAUGUUUUAAGUUUCACAUGCAUAAGGAGUGAUUCUGUAGCUAAACAGGAAAUUAACUAUUAACUGAUCUUUUGAUCAAGACGAAGAUUUUUGUAGUAAAAAAAGUGUUUCUUUUUUUUGCGGUUUGCACUUUUCCGCAAGGGUGAUAUGGUGGAGAAUUUAAAACUUGAUAUCAAUCAUAUGACAAAAUUUAAAAAUGCUUCCUUCUUGUAACAAUGUUCCUAUGAAGCGCAUUUCUUCGUUUUGAAAAUGACUGGUAUAUUGUCACUUGUUAUUUUACUGGUCAUCGCGAUUCUAGAUGUUUUAAGUUCGAGGAUUAUCUGGAUAUAUUGUCCUAUCGCUGAAAUUUGUACCUGCAUGCCACAUUACAUCAAUUUUUUCUUGGAGAAUUUUCAUGAUUCUUAGGUUAUAACGUUCUCCGUCAGUUUAGCAUUUAGUGUGCUUUUGGUAUCCGUUAUUCCUGGUCAAUAUUUUGUACGAUUACCUUGAUUACACCUGUAUUUUUGUGUAAAACUUGUUGCAUUCUGAUUUUUGCCAUUGUUUACUGUAAUCAUACGUCAAGCUUCCAAAUGUCACCGACCGGAGUCGUUACUGGCGCAGUUGCCAGAUUGUGGAAUAGUCUCUAAGGUUUCUCGCGAAGAAUAAUAAUUCGUUAUGUUAAAAUUAAUUCCUUUUCAGUGUUUGGGUAAUGUAACUAGAUAGAACGUUUCUAGUCUUUAUUACUUGUUUGGUGUUACACUUUGCUCCGCAUUCUCGGUUGUGAUUGAUACAUUGAUUUGUUGGUUGAUUUGGCAUUACGCGUCGAGUUUAUCGUGAAUGCGGUGGAGUGAGACGCCUAAUGGGACUAUGUGAGUGUUAGACAAGGAUAUCUUGAUCUUCGUUGUUCGUGAGGGUUGAUUUUACAUGUGAAAGGAAGAACACAUUAACGUUCGAAUGGGCUUCGCAGUGUAAUUGAAUUUUUCGGUGUGAUUUGGUGAUUUUAAAGAAAAUACCAGGCCACUGAGUUGAGACAUCCGCCGAAGAUUCUUCGAGUAAACUAUUGUGCCAUUAUCUGGAUCAGACAUUUGGAUGUUUUUGUAUAUGUUUUCUGAUAGGUUGUCUACGCCAUUUUGGGGAUGUGAUAUACGUACCUCAUGCAUCCACAUGAGGUUCUUAUUUUUGCUUUGUUGGCACAAUGGCAAUUAGUUGAUACGUCUUUCACUCGCACGUAAACCCCGAUCAUCACCUACAGGGGUUUUUCUUUUUUUCCUUUUUUCCUUGUACGGCAACGUUUUGGAUUUCGACAACUAUUUGCUGUUCGCUGCUGGAGUGACUGGCUUAAUUUGGUAGCAGCUUUUGACCGCAACCAGUCAAUCGAUCGCGACCGUGCUAUCGGAUACAGCCGGAUUCUAAAUCAGCGUAGACGACUGCAGCCACUACUUACAGGAACCGCAAGAUUUUUUGGGUUUCCUAUUUUCUACAUGAGAUAUUCAAGCUUGCGAUUGCUAGUCGCAGGAACAGGGUAGAAUUUGGUUUUUGGAGUGAUGGCUUACUUUUCACACCAGAUCGGGUAACUCCCCGUUUGGUGGAGCUUUUUGCAGCCCAACAGCUCCUUCAUUUUGUUGUUCGCCUGUAGAUCAUCGGCCAGGACGACUAGGGCGGGCCUAAGGAUCCCCGAGAUGACCUUCUUUGACAAAUGGACCUUUCUGUUCCCAUCAGUUGAAAAGUGGAGAGAGGGCAGAGUCGGCUUCUGGGAUGGACUUAUCUGGUACACGGACGGGUCCAGAAUUGGAGAUCAGCCGGAGCUGGAGCGUACUGGGAGAGAAUGGGAUCGAGCUUGGGUUUGGGUCAGUACUGCACUGUGUUUCAGGCGGAUAUUUUCGCUUUAUUGAUGGCGGCCAGAGAGUUGCUUCGGCUCAACCACGGAAGCAGGAGGGUCUUCUUCUGCUCGGAUAGGAGGGCUGCACUUAUGGAGCUGAAGGCAGUGCGCACGCACUCCUUGUUGAUAAAGGAGUGCAAAGGGGUACUGAAGAGAGUGGCCGAGGAGAGGAAUGUCACGUUGCUCUGGGUCGCGAGAGUCACACCGGUUUCCGAGGCAAUGAGGCAGCGGACGGUAUUGGGCUACAAUAGUUGUUGACCUUCUAUAGGAGGGGGAGGGUGACGCAGGGCGCCCCACUUUAGUACCAAUACCAAUACCCCUUCCUUUCCAACGGGUUUGCUAAAUCAUAAUAUAAGUCUGGUAGAAAAAAUUCCUUCUUGAGAGAAGUGUACUACGCAUCCAUCGUGUUGCAGUCACGCAUCUCCUCUCGUAGAGGGACUUUUUUUUUAUAAAAUCGGCAAGUAGUUAAAUCGAUCACCCAAAAUACCACUCUCGACGUUCACAUUCGACCUCUUUUGAUAAUUCGGUUAUAGCAAACAGCUGCCUCAAGUCCCUCACGAGAAUGGAGACUACCUCGUUCAGAGACGUAGAAUAUUUUUAAUUAUAGCGAACAGCUGCCUCAAGUCCCUCACGAGAGUAGAGACUAUCUCGUUCAGAGGCGUAGAAUAUUUAUAAUUAUAGCAAACAGCUGCCUCAAGUCCCUCACCAGAGUGGAGACAAUCUCGCUCAGAGACGUAGAAUAUUUAUAAUUAUAGCGAACAGCCGCCUUAAGAUUGUCCCGAGAGUGGAUACUAUUUCGUUCAGAGGCGUAGAAUAUUUAUAAUUACAGCGAACAGCUGCCUCAAGUCCCUCACGAGAGUGGAGACGUAUUUCGUUCAGAGACGUAGAGUAUUUAUAAUUAUAGAAAACGGCUGCCUCAAGUUAGUCACGAGAGUGGAGCUUAUCUCGUUCAGAGAUGUAGAAUAUUUGUAAUUAUAGCGAACAGGCGCCUCAAGUUUUUUUUCUAUCCGACGAAUCGUUAAAUUCUUUUAAAAAAUUCUUUGACCUCGUACUAGUACGGAGGAAAACUUAAAGCCAGUACUUCCUAUCUUUCGGAUGUUAUAGCCUCCAAAAGCCCCCGCGGGUCCGUUACAGAGAAACAGACAACAGAGGACAGAAAAAAAGGUAUUCUUUAUCGACGCUAAAUCCUUUGGUACCAACGGCCACCAAGUACGACGAAAUGUUACCAAGAUCUCGAAUUUAGCGAGGAGCGCAAUUACUUUCGUGAAACACGAUUUCAUCGGUUUCUCGAAUGUAACAAGUGUGGUCGACAUAUCGUAGCUCUAUAGAAGUGUAUCAACAACUUAUGGACUGUGAAGCUUCCUAGCGCCCGGCAGGUAGACCACUUUCGUGACACUAUGGUUAACCCCAAAAAGUCACAGCAUGCAGGAUCACGUCGUCGUUUAUAGAAAUGUUUAAUUGGUCCCUAUAUAUUUAUUUAUUACGUAUUUAUUUAAUGAAUAUAUUGUUGUAAACUAUA